CUGGGGCAACCCUGACGGUGAGGGACGAAAGCGUGGGGAGAAAAGAGGAUUAGAUACCCUCGUAUUCCACGCUGUAAACGAUGGAUACUAGCUAUGUGAAGUGUCGACCCUUUACGUGGCGAAGCUAACGCAUUAAGUAUCCCGCCUGGGAAGUACGGCCGCAAGGCUAAAACUCAAAGGAAUAGACGGGGACCCACACAAGCGGUGGAUCAUGCGGCUUAAUUCGAUGGUACGCGAGGAACCUUACCAGGGCUAGAAACCCAGUCGAACUCCGGCAGAAACGCCGGAGGUCUCACAAGGACGGCUGGGCAGGUGAUGCACGGCUGUCGUCAGCAUGUACCUUGAGGCGCUCCGUUCAAUCGGGCAACAUGCGCAACCCUUAUUCUGUGUUUCACGUGUCACAGAAAACUGCCUGGGACAACCAGGAGGAAGGUGAGGAUGACGCCAAGUCCGCGUGUCCCUUGAUGCCCUGGGCCGCACGCAUGAUACAAUGGAGCCGACAGCGGGACGCAAUGUCGUAAGGCGGAGCAAAUCCCUUAAACGGCUCCUCAGUUCGGAUCGAGGUCUGCAACUCGACCUCGUGAAGUUGGAAUCGCUAGUAAUCGCGCAUCAGCCAUGGCGCGAUGAAUAUGUUCCUGGGUCUUGUACUCACCGCCUGUCAAGCCAAGCGAGUUGGGAAUGCCCAAAGUCCCCGGGUUCCACCGGGGCCCAAGGCAGGUCCAAUGAGAGGGGCUAAGUCAUAACAAGGCACGCGUAGCGGAAGCUGUGCGUGGAUCACUUCAUUC
rnacentral:rRNA from 1 species